rnacentral:rRNA from 1 species
AGAGUUUGAUCAUGGCUCAGAAUCAACGCUGGCGGCGUGCCUAACACAUGCAAGUCGCACGAGAAAGGGGCUUCGGCUCUGAGUAAAGUGGCGCACGGGUGAGUAACACGUGACUAAUCUACCCUCGAGUGGGGAAUAACCUAGAGAAAUCUGGGCUAAUACCGCAUAACACUUACGAGUCAAAGCAGCAAUGCGCUUGGGGAGGAGGUCGCGGCCGAUUAGCUAGUUGGCGGGGUAAUGGCCCACCAAGGCGAUGAUCGGUAUCCGGCCUGAGAGGGCGCACGGACACACCGGAACUGAAACACGGUCCAGACUCCUACGGGAGGCAGCAGUGGGGAAUUUUGCGCAAUGGGGGAAACCCUGACGCAGCAACGCCGCGUGGAGGAUGAAAUAUCUUGGUAUGUAAACUCCUUUCGAUGGGGAAGAUUAUGACGGUACCCAUAGAAGAAGCCCCGGCUAACUUCGUGCCAGCAGCCGCGGUAAUACGAGGGGGGCAAGCGUUGUUCGGAUUUAUUGGGCGUAAAGGGUGCGUAGGCGGUUUGAUAAGUCUGAUGUGAAAUCUAUGGGCUCAACCCAUAGUCUGCAUUAGAAACUGUCGGGCUUGAGUAUGGGAGAGGUGAGUGGAAUUUCCGGUGUAGCGGUGAAAUGCGUAGAUAUCGGAAGGAACACCUGUGGCGAAAGCGGCUCACUGGACCAUAACUGACGCUGAUGCACGAAAGCUAGGGGAGCAAACAGGAUUAGAUACCCUAGUAGUCC